AAGAAAUACAUUGUCGGCAAACUCCGUAGCUUGCUCGCUUGUGCACGCCAGCUUUCUGAGACUGUUAUUUUGGUAGCGCAGGCAGGAUGAAGCAGAGCUCUUAUUGUGCAACUGUGCAGUCGGUCUUUGCAGUUUUGACGACAGGUACGGCGCCAGAGUCUGUUGAAAUAAAGUGUUUCUCGUCUUCCUGUCGGUAAUUUUAAUGAGCUGGCAGCAGCCAGCGUCAUCUCAGAAGACCCUCGGGUGCCGUGAAUGUCAAUCAAGUGACGAAAGUGACGUCAUAGUGAAGAUUUAUGAUCGCUCAUUUUUAGGACUAUUUUUUUAAUGCCUGGCUGGUGAUCGACUGACACACCUUCCACGAUCGACCGGUAGCUCGCGAUCGACGUAAUGAGCACCCCUGGUGUAUAGUGACGUCAGACAGCAACAUGGCGGUGCCCGGGCAGAAGAAGCGCACCAAAGUUUGCUGACAUUUUACAAUAAAUGAUUGCAACAGCGCUAUUUGUAAUAAUUCCAAGGUUGCUAUUUCAUCAAAAGGAGGACAUACGAGCAAUAUGCUAAAACAUUUGAACGGGACGGGACGGCGUGGCGAAGUUGGUAGAGUGGAAGUGCCAGCAAUCGGAGUGUUGCUGGUUACUGGGGUUCAAUCCCCACCUUCUACCAUCCUAGCCACAUCCGUUGUGUCCUUGGGCAAGACACUUCACCCCUUGCUCCUGAUGGCUGCUGGUUAGCGCCUUGCAUGGCAGCUCCCGCCAUCAGUGUGUGAAUGUGUGUGUGAAUGGGUGAAUGUGGUAAUACUGUCAAAGCGCUUUGAGUACCUUGAAGGUAGAAAAGCGCUAUACAAGUAUAACCCAUUUAUUUAUUUAUCAUUUAACAUACAGUAUGCAAUGAACGUUGCGUUCUAGAACCGCGCUGCCAGGCAGCAGAAGUCAUCUGACGUAAAUACAACAAGUACUAAUACCGCUGUGAGGGGCGUUGCCUGCGGACCUGCAGCGAGGCGGGAUGUAUCGGGACCGGCUUCGAGAUUAACGACAGGUGAGUGGAUGACACAGCUGAGUGUGUUUGUCUGAUCACCUGUCGCUCUGUUAAAGGCAGCAGUCGGGAAGAAGAGAGGAGGGGGAGCACGAACGAGAGCGAGAGCGAGACAGACGAACGAAAAGACAUUUGCUGAAAAGCACAAGAAAGACUGAAAAUAAAACAGUGUUCAACCCUGAAAAGGAGCUGUCAUGUCCAUGAUUGGGGUCCAGAAGAACCCGGAAAUGAGCAUGAGGAACAUUAUGGGGCCGGUUUGGAGGCGGCCAGUAAUAGCUCCAGAUUACGUCAGCGCGGCAGAAAAGAGUGCAACUCGGCCAGGAGUGACGAAUAUCACCGAGCAGUGACUAAGUUUAUGGUCAAAAGCUUGCAAAGAUUUGACACAUAGAUGCUCCUUCGGUCGUACAUGACACGGGCCGGGAAGGAGAAGGAGCUACGACCAGGGAACAGGACACAAUUAAUAAAGCAGCCAUCAAAGCACUGAUCAACAUCUCAGGGAUCUGGCCAGUCCUCACUUUUGCCUUCAGCACCCUUUCAGCCCCACGUCGACUGUGGUUGGCAUUGGUGGAGUGGAGGAUGAACAGUACCAACAGAUCUAUCACCUGAUGCAGUACCGGCAAGAG